UAGCCUAGUGGUUAGAGUGGAGGGGCAGGCAGGUAGCCUAGUGGUUAGAGUGGAGGGGCAGGCAGGUAGCCUAGUGGUUAGAGUGGAGGGGCAGGCAGGUAGCCUAGUGGUUAGAGUGGAGGGGCAGGCAGGUUGCCUAGUGGUUAGAGUGUAGGGACGGCAGGUAGCCUAGUGGUUAGAGUGAUGGACCAGUAACCGAAAGGUUGGUGGAUCGAAUCCCCGAGCUGAUAAGGCUCUCAGUACUCUACCCUAAGAGGUGGACAGGUUCAUGUGGUCAGGCCCUCAGUACUCUACCCUAAGAGGUGGAUAGGUUCAUGUGGUCAGGCCCUCAGUACUCUACCCUAAGAGGUGGAUAGGUUCAUGUGGUCAGGCCCUCAGUACUCUACCCUAAGAGGUGGAUAGGUUCAUGUGGUCAGGCCCUCAGUACUCUACCCUAAGAGGUGGAUAGGUUCAUGUGGUCAGGCCCUCAGUACUCUACCCUAAGAGGUGGAUAGGUUCAUGUGGUCAGGCCCUCAGUACUCUACCCUAAGAGGUGGAUAGGUUCAUGUGGUCAGGCCCUCAGUACUCUACCCUAAGAGGUGGAUAGGUUCAUGUGGUCAGGCCCUCAGUACUCUACCCUAAGAGGUGGAUAGGUUCAUGUGGUCAGGCCCUCAGUACUCUACCCUAAGAGGUGGAUAGGUUCAUGUGGUCAGGCCCUCAGUACUCUACCCUAAGAGGUGGAUAGGUUCAUGUGGUCAGGCUC